AUUGAACGCUGGUGGCAUGCUUUACACAUGCAAGUCGAACGGCAGCACGGACUUCGGUCUGGUGGCGAGUGGCGAACGGGUGAGUAAUACAUCGGAACGUACCCAGUAAUGGGGGAUAACUAUCCGAAAGGAUAGCUAAUACCGCAUACGCCCUACGGGGGAAAGAGGGGGAUCGCAAGACCACUUGUUAUUGGAGACGCCGAUGGCUGAUUAGCUAGUUGGUAGGGUAAAGGCCUACCAAGGCAACGAUCAGUAGCGGGUCUUAGAGGACGAUCCGCCACACUGGAACUGGGACACGGUCCAGACUCCUACGGGAGGCAGCAGUGGGGAAUCUUGGACAAUGGGCGCAAGCCUGAUCCAGCAAUGCCGCGUGCGUGAAGAAGGCCUUCGGGUUGUAAAGCGCUUUUGUCAGGGAGCAAAUCCUUGUGGCUAAUACCCACCGGGGAUGAGAGUACCUGAAGAAUAAGGACCGGCUAACUACGUGCCAGCCGCCGCAGUAACAC
rnacentral:rRNA from 1 species